CCUGGCUGUCAAAUGGGGGGGAGUUUGCACCUGUGCUCCCCCCAUUAAGCUGAUAACUUUAUUUUUAAAAACCCCACUCUUUCCCCACUUCAUUGUGCCCCACCCCCGAGCACUGCCCCAGCCACCCCUUGGCCAGGGCUCUCCUGCCUCUCUCUUGGGCCAUUGCUCGGCCCCUACUCAGCCCCUGGCAGGCCCAGGUCAUUCCCUGGCGCAGAGGUUUGUGCAUGCGGCUUCCAGGGUAAGAAUAAUCGGGGCGCUAAGCGGGGUGAUCCCCAGAGUCUGAAGAGUCCAGAGCGCUAACGAAUGCUCCUGGGGUUCAGGCACGUGACUCGGCCUCAGAUCAGUUUCCAGCACUGCCACAGACUCGCCAGUUGGGAAAAAGACCAACCUUUGCUGUCCCUGCCAUGCUGGGAGUGCUGACUCCUCUGAUUACACCGAUAUCCACGAAUCACCUGAGGCGCACAGGGCGGGAGGCUACAGAAGGACCCCGCUGAGCUGGUACCAGGAUUUCAGCCUGUCUGGCAGUGUUCAGCCUGGAGUUCUGGUAACCACGGAACUGCAAAGGGUUCUCAGUGGAAACACGUCACUGGUCUCUUCCCCAAAGAGUUCACAAUCCGGACAGACAAAGGGUGGGAGAAAUAACUAAUAUCGUCGCUUUACAGGGCAACGGAGACUUCCCCCUAGCCGCUGCCCAGGUGGCUCACCAGAAACCGCAGCCCUGCCUGGAGACGUUUGCCCCACAACGUCGCAUCAAUCAGCACAUCCCCCAGCCCCGCAAGUGAACUGGCAGGAAGCAGCACCUGGGCCUGAAAAGGAGAAUGAGCACGUGAGAGAAGGCUAAAAUCAGCCCGGGGAGCAAAGCCAGACCUCGUGCUGAGCCACACAGAACAACAGCACCCUUUGUAGUUAGUGAGGCUUGAAACCAAUUCACCCUUCAUUUCUCCCUCCUCCCCCAAGGGUCACUCAAUGUCUAGGGCUUUUAAAACUCCCUUUAAAACAGCGAGAGCUGUGUUUUAGAAUGUAUGUUUGGGGGGGAUCAGGGAGCUGCCCUUAGUAAACGGGCGUCGUCUGUUCAUGUCUGGAGCAAUCUGGAUUGAAUUUGGAUCCCAGCCCUUGAAAUGGUGACAGCUUUCUCUUAAGCUCUCAAAGUGACUCAGAGGAGCAGUAGCAGUCGUCAUGCGGACUCCAGGUGGCUGAAUGGCUACGUAGCCGGCUGUCCUGCUUUGUAUGUGGGGCAGUCAUUCAUUCAUUCAUGCCCGUCACCCCAGUCGGGAUAUGUGGGGCAGUGGGGUCUUGUUAAUGGGGACAAGAGGUGCAAUGCUUGGCUGCAGGAGGAUGGGGUGGACGUGCUUUGCACCGAACACCCACCAGAGAGGGAGGAAAAGAGGGUUUCCUGUGACUUGCACUAUUUGAUGUGGCUCUGGUGUAGUGACCAGAGACUGAAGGGGACUGGGAGUUCGGGAGGGGCCAGCGAACUGCUUGGCUAUGGAGCAGCCGCAGUGACAGCAAGGCUCCUUUUCAGUCUUCACUGAGUAGUGAGAUAACUCGGUGCUUUGAAAGGGAACGUACCUGUCUGAGUUCGGAUUGGUUUUGCCUUUUGGAGGGGACCAGCUGAACCUUCAGACUAAUUACAUGGUUUCGCCUGGUCCCUUCUAAUGUCCUGGGAAUUUAUCUUCACCCCACUACGGAGCUGGCGAGCUGCUCUUUAUGGCAGGGGCUGUGUUUUAUUUCUCUUUCUGUGCCUGUAUGUUUGGGAUUUUUUUUCUACAUUUCAAACUAUCAAGUCCAUUAGCAGAAGAGUUCAGUAUUAGUCCAGAUUCAUUACUGAUUGGUUUGGUUUUGCCCUGCCCUAUGGUUAACGUAGCUUCCAGAGACUGAAUUGUGCUUCCACGUUGCUGUUUUGCCAUGUGUAUUUUGACAGAUGUGUGAUCGGGAGCUGGGCUCUGAAAAUGCCUGAACUUGAGUGUCAUGUAGCUGGCUCCAGACCCCAUCUGUAAAAUGCUCAUGUGACAUGUUAGUAGUUAAACCUGGAAUCCCCUCUUCUAAAUUCAGGCAUCAGGGCCCCUUAAUCUUAAUUACUAAGAUUACCUUGACUGCAUCAUGCAUAACAAAUUCUUUCUGGUGAUCUUGAGGUUGGUUUGUUUAAUUGACUUUUAUUAAAAAAGGUUUAAAAUUGAAAUGCUCAUGAAUCCCCUGAGCUGUUAGGUAACUUUUCUUCUAAGGCUGUAAUCUGAGAAGGUUGUUAAUGGACCUUGGCUGCAACAUUCUAAAUGAAGAUCUGAACUUGCCCGAAGAUCCAGGGUUUUCAGAUUGGGACGCCUGGGUCAGAUCCACCUCUAGCAGGACAGGUUGGUUACCCACACCACAGGAGACACAGAUUGUAAACUGCGGCCUGGCAGGAGCUCAAUGGUCAGGCAGACUUGGAGGUCUGAUCCAGAGUGCGGUAAUUAGUAUAUUAUUGCUUUCUACGCAGUAGAGUUGCUCCUGCUUAACUAGUUGGUAAAUUUGGCCUGAGAUCUACCCCUAGACUUGUGACCUCAGUGUGGCGGUGUUGCACCCUUUAGAUAUCUUAUUGCUACCUGAAGUGUGGGCCAACUUUCAAACUGGUUGAAAACUUUAGCUCUAGAGAGGAACCAUUAGUAACUUGCGUUGCUUGGUGAAAGCUGAAAUAAGCCUUAUUCUCUAGGUGCUGAAGCCUAGGUGUGUGUGAGAGAGCGAGAGAGGGGUCUCUGGUGUCGCCUGAGGUUUUGUUCCCGAUUCCACACACCUCAGGAUGCUGACUGACUCUCACCUGACCUGCUGUUAUUGAUGGCAAAAGGAUAUUUUUGUUUGCUUUGUGUUCAUCCUGAUUGAUACCUGCCCAGGAGCAGAUGGCAAACUCAUGCCUCUGAGCUCUCACAGGGAAUCCACAUGUGCUCUGCAAUCGGGAAUCCAGCCAUUUGUCACUGCAUUCUUGUGGCUUGUUUACAGAUCUUUCAUUCACUUCUCUCUCCAUUGGUACUGUUCCCAAAAUACAGUUUUGCUCUGACCAUGUCACCCAGUUAUUUCAGUGACUUGAAAUUGGCUUGCUAACAAGGGAUGGAGACCACUCUGUAUUUCAGGAGCAGUCUGUAUUUUAUAAGACGAAUUGGAAGCUGUGGUUGUCCCUGGUAUGUGAAAAGACCUUGCAUCAUGUUAGUCCAACAUGAGGAGUUCGCCAUUAGUGAAAUGGCUCUUUGCAGAGGGGACAAGUGUGUGCCCUUUGAGAGCCCAAAACUGGGCCAGAGCCUGGUGUCUCAUGCCUGUCAAGCAUCACUCAGUGUCCCAAAAAAUUACACAUACUGCUGCUGUGUGUCUGCCAGCAGAUCCUAGGGAUUCUCUAGUGAUGAGGUCCUUGUGCAUCAGAGAUCAGAAUCCAGCCCAGACUUUGCAAGUGCACAGGAUGCUUGCAAAAUGCUUCACAUGUACAGUUCCAGAUAUCGCUACAUGCCCGUAGUUAGUUAAGCACCUUAAUUCAUGGUUAAAAUGUUAGUUAGUCAAUGGGAUGCAAAUUACAAAAAGGCGAUUUUAAAGAAAAAAAUAUUUAAGCCUAGUUUUGUUCAUGGCCCUUUGAGUUUUUUAGGCCAUGUUGGUUAGAUCAUCUUUUACCAAAGUGUGUAUGUAACUGAAUAUUUUAUACGAUGUGGUUGGUCAUUUUAAAUGGCUUCGGUUAUUUCCACUUGUAAAAUAAUAAAGGUUGAUGGACUGAGAA